rnacentral:antisense_RNA from 1 species
GACGGACAUUAAUGAUUCAUUCUGCGAACCCUGGCCGACCGCCAGAUAGGCGUUCAUACCCAGCGUUUUCAUCUGUUGCUCGCCAAUCACCCGGGUAAUAAUGUUCUGGCUGUAGGUAUCGGCCAGUUGACGCGCCUGUGACGCCAGAUACGCCGCAUUGCAGAUAUUGGGCGGCAUAUUGCCGAGGUCUUUCGC